rnacentral:rRNA from 1 species
GACGAACGCUGGCGGCGUGCUUAACACAUGCAAGUCGAACGGAAAGGCCCUGCUUUUGUGGGGUGCUCGAGUGGCGAACGGGUGAGUAACACGUGAGUAACCUGCCCUUGACUUUGGGAUAACUUCAGGAAACUGGGGCUAAUACCGGAUAGGAGCUCCUGCUGCAUGGUGGGGGUUGGAAAGUUUCGGCGGUUGGGGAUGGACUCGCGGCUUAUCAGCUUGUUGGUGGGGUAGUGGCUUACCAAGGCUUUGACGGGUAGCCGGCCUGAGAGGGUGAACGGCCACAAUGGGACUGAGAUACGGCCCAGACUCCUACGGGAGGCAGCAGUGGGGAAUAUUGCACAAUGGGCGGAAGCCUGAUGCAGAAACGCCGCGUGCGGGAUGACGGCCUUCGGGUUGUAAACCGCUUUCGCCUGUGACGAAGCGUGAGUGACGGUAAUGGGUAAAGAAGCACCGGCUAACUACGUG